rnacentral:snRNA from 1 species
AAAUGUUACAGGUCUUUUAGAAUUGGUCUACCAGGUUUUCUGGUCCUUAAUGGAAGACCCCU